GGUCACUGUUAACUUUCAUUGUUUCUUUGGACGCUGAAAAACGGUGGCCUAGAUUUGUGUGAAAGCUAUUUUCUACCAACCACAUCUUUCUGGGUUCGAUUGUUUCUGGAAAAGGUUGCACAUCACAUACUAGGAAAUCCCGAGUGUGAAGACUGUUUCCUGCCAGUGGAAGCCUUGUUGUGGUUGGCUGUUCUGACCAUAGAGACACUGAGAAAAAUCUCAGGAUUAACAUUUGCGGCCCAUCAUCGAGGUAACUCCACCUGAAAUUCUCUUUUCACUCUGGGAUCCCCAAGACCCGGGGAUUCACAAGCCUUGUGAUAGCCAACCUAGCUGACCCAAGGUUCCCAGAAGUACUUUCCACCCUGCAGAAUCCUGUCAUGAAUAGCUACACUUGAAAGAAAAUAGCAGUCCUCACUCCUGCCGUUGAGACCCUGUUGACUGAGUGGGCUGGCUUGGUCAGAUCGCCUAAGGACUGCAAACUGCACUAGAAGCAGUUACAGAAGAGAGUGUGUUAUCCUUUGCUGCUGCACCUCCUCCAGCUCCCGUUCCACUCUCUACCCCACACACAGGCUGAAACUCUUAAGUCAAAAGGAAACUUCCUGGCAUAGGGAACAAAAUGGCUAUCUAUAAUGCCAAUUGACAUACCCGAAAAGUGGGCCCAGAUUUGUCAACUGGUAGGUCCAUUAAUGAAAAUAGUUUUAUCAUAUAAUAGGACACUUGCCCUGCUUUAUGCAGAAUAAAGGAGUACUAUAUAGCUUUAAAGAAAUUGUUAUAUAUAUCCAUUCGGGAUUAUAAUGGGGCUGUACUCAAAAAACAUCACCAAAAGAAUCACUGAGAUAAAAUAAAUGACUGGUGCCCCAUCCAUCUCCAGGCUUCUAGAUAGUAACUCUGAUGUCAGCCAUCAUAGGUCCUUACCUCUACUAAUUACAUUUGAUUCUUAUGUCACUGAUACAAUAACUAAAUGUUAAUCCCUGUCUGGGUCCCAUUAAACUGAUGAUUAUAAGAUUCUAAAAUAAACAAGUACCCAUCACAGAGCCAAGGAUUUGACCAGAGACACAACUCCGGGGGAAAGGGGAUGUAAUGCCCAAAAUUAGCCCGUAAGCCCCAUCUGCCCAAGGACCAAGUAACUUCCUAGAAUGCUGGGAAUUGUAGUCCUUGGAAAAUACUAAAGUCUCAUAGGAAAGUAUGGUGGCCUAUGGGUUUGUCUUUAUUAACCCUUGCAACCUGUGUCUCAGGACCACUCACCUGGGAAAUCCCAGGGAGUGGUCCUGACCAAAGUCCACCUUGCUCAGUAUUUAAUAUUUAGUAAGAUUGCUUCAAAUUUGGCCCAAAAUGGUGGAGCUUGGUUUUCUCUGGUGAAUCUCAGCAUUAACACAACUUUCUCCCCAGUAUAUACUCAAGCCAAAGUGUCUCCUUUGCCCCCAUUAUCAAGGAAAGAGGCAAGGCCUGGAUGUGGACCUUGUGAAAGAGAUGUAGACUGAACAGGAGCAGCUACACAAACUAGGUUCUAGAAAGCUCUCUGAUCUUAAAUGCAUUGAUUUUAUUAGACUGUGGACAAAUUAAUUAAUAUAAACUUAUGUUUCAGUCCU
ensembl:lincRNA